AUUGAACGCUGGCGGUAUGCUUAACACAUGCAAGUCGAACGGCAGCACAGUAUGUAGCAAUACAUAUGGGUGGCGAGUGGCGGACGGGUGAGUAACGCGUAGGAAUCUACCCUAAAGCGGGGGACAACCCGAGGAAACUCGGGCUAAUACCGCAUAAUCUCGAAAGAGUAAAGCUGGGGCAACCUGACACUUUAGGAGGAGCCUGCGUCCGAUUAGCUAGUUGGUGAGGUAAAGGCUCACCAAGGCGAUGAUCGGUAGCUGGUCUGAGAGGAUGAUCAGCCACACUGGGACUGAGAAACGGCCCAGACUCCUACGGGAGGCAGCAGUGGGGAAUAUUGGACAAUGGGGGCAACCCUGAUUCAGCAAUACCGCGUGUGUGAAGAAGGCCUUAGGGUUGUAAAGCACUUUAGUUGGGGAAGAAGGAUAGUUGUUUAAGAGAUGAUUAUUUUGACGGUACCCAAAGAAUAAGCACCGGCUAACUCUGUGCCAGCCGCCGCCGUAA
rnacentral:rRNA from 1 species